GACGAACGCUGCGGCGUGCGUAACACAUGCAAGUCGAACGAGAGAGUGAGAGAAGCUUGCCUUUCUUACGAUCGAGUGGCAAACGGGUGAGUAACGCGUAAACAAACCUGCCCCGCAGAUGGGGACAACAGCUGGAAACGGCUGCUAAUACCGAAUACGCUCCUCUUAGCGCAUGGUAAGAGGAAGAAAGGGUGGCCUCUGGAACAAGCUACCGCUGUGGGAGGGGUUUGCGUCUGAUUAGCUGGUUGGAGGGGUAACGGCCCACCAAGGCGACGAUCAGUAGCCGGUCUGAGAGGAUGAACGGCCACAUUGGAACUGAGACACGGUCCAGACUCCUACGGGAGGCAGCAGUGGGGAAUCUUCCGCAAUGGGCGAAAGCCUGACGGAGCAACGCCGCGUGAGUGAAGACGGCCUUCGGGUUGUAAAGCUCUGUUAUAGGGGACGAACGGCCGGGUAGCGAAUAGGUAGCCGGCAUGACGGUACCGUAAGAGAAAGCCACGGCUAAC
rnacentral:rRNA from 1 species